rnacentral:rRNA from 1 species
UACGGAGGGUGCAAGCGUUGUCCGAAAUUACUGGGCGUAAAGAGUUCGUAGGCGGUUUGUCGCGUCGUUUGAGAAAACCAGCAGCUCAACUGCUGGCUUGCAGGCGAUACGGGCAGACUUGAGUACUGCAGGAGAGACUGGAAUUCCUGGUGUCGCGGCGACAUGCGCAGAUAUCAGGAGGAACACCGGUGGCGAAGGCGGGUCUCUGAGCAGUAACUGACGCUGAGGAACGAAAGCGUGGGUAGCGAACAGG